AAGAGUUGAGAACACUACCAAACAAAAAAAGGAACAUGCCAUUGAUACACACAGCAACAUGGAUACAUUCCAAAAUACACUGAAUGGAAGUUCCCAGGCUAGGGGUCCAAUCCGAGCUACAGCUGCCAGCCUACACCACAGCCACAGCAAUGUGGGAUCCAAGAUGCAUCUUUGACCUAUACCACAGCUCACAGCAACGCCAGAUUCUUAACCCACUGAAUGAGGCCAGAGUUUGAACCCACAACCACCCACAACCUCUUGGUUUCUAGUUGGAUUCAUUUCCGCUGGGCCAUGAUGGAAAUUCCCCUGUUUAUGUUUUAAACAUAGCAGUGUGUAUGCUAUGUAUAAAGUUGAUAAUUAAUCCCAAACUCCUGAUUAACCCUCACCCACCCCUCUAUGGCCCUUUGAUAACCAUAAGUUUGUUUUCUGUGUCAUUGAGGUUUUUUUUUUAAUUUGUUGAAUUGAUUUUUAUUUUUAUUUUUUUCAUAUAAUUCUUUCCUAAUUUUUUUAUUUUUUGCUUUUUUAAAUGAUUUUUAUUUUUUCCAUUAUAGUUGGUUUACAGUGUUCUGUCAGUUUCUACUGUACAGCAAAGUGACCCAGUCAUACACAUUCUUUUUCUCACAUUAUCUUUUGUCAUGUUCCAUCACAAGUGACUAGACGUAGUUCCUUGUGCUAUACAGCAGAAUGAGUUUUAUUUCUGUUUUGUAAACAAGUUCAUUUGUUAUCAUUUCUUUAGAUUCCACUUGUAAGCAAUAUCAUAUGACAUUAGUCUUUAUCUGUCUGACUUACUUCACUUAAUAUGAUACUAUAGGUCCAUUCAUGUUGCUCCAGAUGGCAUCAUUUCAUUCUUUUUGUGGCUGAGUAGUAUUCCAUCGUAUACAUAUACUGUAUCUUUAUUCAUCUCUUGGUAGACAUUUGCGUUUCUUUCAUAUCUUGACUGUUGUAAAUAGUACUGCUAUGAAAAUUAAGGUGCAUGUAUCUUUUGAAAUUGGAGUUUUCUCCUGAUGUAUGCCCAGGAGUGGGAUUGUGAGAUCAUGGGGUGGGGGGUGGUUGGCCACACCUGUGGUGUGUGAAAGUUCCUGGGCCAGCAAUCGAACCUGCACCACUGCUAUGACAUUGCCGGACCCUUAGCCCACUGAGCCACAAGGGAACUGUCUAUUUUUGGUUUUUUAAGGAACCUCCAUAUUCUCCAUAGUGGUGGCAACAAUUUACAUUCCCACCAACAGUACAGGAGGGUUCAUUUUUCUUCACACCCUCUCCAGCAUUUAUUAUUUGUAGACUUUUUAAUUUUUUUCUGUACUGGUGGCGUAUGGAACUUCCUGGGUCAUCAAACCCGUGCCACUACAGAGACAAUACCAGAUCCUUAACCCACUGUACCACAGUGAGAACUCCUAUUUGUAGACUUUUUAAUCAUGGGCAUUCUGACUGAUGUGAGAUGAUACCUCAUCGUAAUUUUGAGUUGCAUUUCUCUAAUAAUUAGCGAUAUUGAGCAUCUUUUCAUGUCCCUGUUGGCCACCUGUAUGUCUUCUUUGGAGAAAUGUCAGCAAGCAUUUUCUCUCUCUCUCUCUUUUUUUUAGGGCUGAACCUGCAGCAUAUGGAAGGUCUCAGGCUAGGAGUCGAAUCAGAGCUCCAACUGCCGGCCUACACCACAGCCAUGGUAACACGGGAUCCGGGCCUUGUCUGCGACCUACACCACAGCUCUCGGCAACACCGGAUCCUUAACUCACUGAGCGAGGCUGGGGAUUGAACCUGUGUCCUCAUGUAUCCUAGUCAGGUUCUUAUCCUGAGCCAUAAUGGGAACUCUGGCAAGCAUUUUCUCCUCUCCCCUCUGCUAUCUUUAAUGGCUGUACCCAUGACAUAUAGAAGGUCCUGAGUGAGGGAUUGAAUCUGAGCCUGUGCCUGGCUGGGGAUUGAAUCUGUGCUUCCACAGUGACACAAGCUGCUGCAGUUGGAUUCUUCACCUACUGCAGCACAGUGGGAACUCCAUGGCAAGCAUUUUCUAAAACGUUCUAGGUAGUAAAUGUUUCAAGGCUUUGUGGGACAAGAAGCAAAUACCUAUUAUUAGGUAUUUAAUCCAACCAUUUAAAAACAUAAAUACCAUUCUGAGCUCAGGAUUGUGGCCCACAUCCUCUUAGCUAUCUCCUAUAGCAUGAUCUGUAUGGUUCUUUCACUGCCAUGAAGUGAAAUCCAGGUGCUAUAACCUGGUCACACACUUGCAGAAAAUUAAUACAUGUGUGCCUCGGGAGUCACACUGAGAGAUGCACUGCUCCUUGUUGGCAUUGUCACCCCAGCAGUGCCACUGCACAUGUCAGAAGAGUUGCCAGAUGGAGAGAUGACUUUUUGAAACAGUAACCUGCUAUCAAAAUUUCAGAGCACAGCAAAAAAUUUAACAACCUGAUUAAAAAUGGGCAAAGCAUUUAAAUAGACUUUUCUCCAAAGAAGAUAUACAAAUGGCCAACAAGCACAUGAAAAGAUACUCACCAUCAUAAUAAUCCAAGAAAUGCAGAUUAGAACCACAGUGGGAUAUCACCUCAUACCAUUAGGAUGGCUUCUAUCAAAAACAGACAAAUAACAAGUAUUUUCACACUUGUUAAAGGAUGUGGAGAAAUUAGCACUCUACCGCCCACCCACGUGCACUACUGAUGGGAAUGUAGAAUGUUAUAGCUGCUGUGGAAAAGAGUGUGGCAGUUCCUCAAAAAGUUAAACAGAAUAACUAUAUGAACCAGCAGCUCCAACUCUGGAUAUAUACCCUAAAGAAUUGAAAACAGGAACUUGAGGAGUUCCCAUCGUGGUGCAGUGGUUAACGAAUCUGACUAGGAACCAUGAGGUUGUUGGUUUGAUCCCUGGCCUCGCUCAGUGGGUUCAUGAUCUGGCGUUGCUGUGAGCUGUGGUGUAGGUCGCAGACGUGGCUUGGAUCCUGCAUUGCUGUGGCUGUGGCAUAGGCCGGCGCUACAGCUCCGAUUAGACCCCUAGCCUGGGAACCUCCAUAUGUCAUGGGAGUGGUCCUAGAAAAGGCAAAAAAAGACAAAAAAAAAAAAAA
ensembl:lncRNA